rnacentral:rRNA from 1 species
AGCAGUAGCCGCGGUAAUGCGAAGGGGACUAGCGUUGUUCGGAAUUACUGGGCGUAAAGCGCACGUAGGCGGAUAUUUAAGUCAGGGGUGAAAUCCCAGAGCUCAACUCUGGAACUGCCUUUGAUACUGGGUAUCUUGAGUAUGGAAGAAGUGAGUGGAAUUCCGAGUGUAGAGGUGAAAUUCGUAGAUAUUCGGAGGAACACCAGUGGCGAAGGCGGCUCACUGGUCCAUUACUGACGCUGAGGUGCGAAAGCGUGGGGAGCAAACAGGAUUAGAUACCCGAGUAGUCCCUGUCUCUUAUAU